GACCUAUUAGCUCAGUUGGUAGAGCAAUUCACUUUUAAUGAAUGGGCCCAUGGUUCGAGUCCAUGAUAGGUCACCA
rnacentral:tRNA from 1 species